rnacentral:hammerhead_ribozyme from 1 species
GAACUGCUGAGGAGUCCCACAACAGAACGAAACGGCCGUUCAGUGC